GGGCCGAGGGCUGCAGGUCAGGGGGCGGCGCCCACGUGCGCGGGCGGCGGGAGCCACGCUCCGCCUGGGGCGUCGUCGCUGGGACGCUGCGGGCCUCCUGACGGAACGCAAGCGGUUCUUCCAGGAGCACAGCCCUCAGUUGGCCAAAUAGCAAGCGUCCCGGGUGUGUCAGGGAAACUGCCGGAAGCGGCACCGGGCCGCACUGUGCGGACAGGACGCGGGCAGGAACUCUUAUUAUCUUCACAUCCCGGCUGAAGAAACUGAAGUUCUGAGAAACUAAGGGGCUCCCUGAGGCCUGCAGACAAGGGAAGGUCAGAUGGAGAAUCAGGCGUUGGACGACACAGUGAUGUUGAAACUCUUGCCCUGGAAAGUGCUUAUGAUCCUCACAGCUGGCAGCAGCAGCCUGGGGACUCGCGACCGUGUCCGCAUGCAGGCCUGAGGAAGGAAGGGCACCGAAGAGCAGGGAGGCGGCAGCGAUGUUAACGAGAAGAGGAAAGUGAGCGGAGUCCCUGUGGCCUCAUCCAGAGAAGAGCCCAUGAACAAGCUGAGACGAACCGGUGGAACAGCCCCGGGGGCGUUCCCGUGCCCACCACCUGAGGCCUCUGACCUCGGAUCUCCCCCUCCUCCCGUCCUCAUGACAGGACAUGGUCCUCCCCGGAAUACACACCGAACACUCACCACCGCCUCCUCUCCCCCAGACGAGUGUGUGGAUUCAGACAGCGCCCCACUCCCUUCUGAAGAAGUCACUCCUUCUAAACUGUUGUAUGCCCAGAACUUUCUUGUUUGGGGAGCAAAACCCAGAUGUAACAAGCAGCCUCUGCCAUUCCUAUCUGGAAACAGUGCACCUUGCAACCACUCACUGGGGUCUGUCAUUUUAGGAGGCAGGUGACCUGAAGUCUAAGACACAGGCGUGUGGAAAAUACAGAAUGUUAGGGGGAAAAUAAAUCACUGAGGGAGAAAAGUA